GGACUGAUGGAGGAGAAUCAGCAGCAUCCUCUCUCUGUGUUUCUUCUACAGGUGAAGCUCCACAGUCUCUGGGACUGGAUGUGAACUCAGCAGCUGAGCAUCUUCCCAGGAACAUUGUCAGUGCUGCUGUUGUACUGACAGAGUGCAGCUCUGCCAUGAGUCUGUGUGAGGACAGAGAAGAGGGAGGCCCUCCCUCUGAAAGCCCUCUGUGUGGGGACCAUGAGAGCCAGAGCACAGUUCCCAGGUUCUCUAUCACUUGUUCAAGGAGUUUUCCCACGCUGCGACUGUGACUGUAGGCGACGCCUUCCUCGGUGUGGUCUGCUUCUCCGUGGUUUCCUUGGGGGAGGGACGUCAUAGUGGGGGCCAUCUUUGGCAUCCUGGGGGCCGUUUCACCUCUCACACGUGUGUCAUCGAGCCCCUGUUUGUCUUCGUCUGCAGCUACAUGGCUUACCUCACUGCAGAGGUCUUCCAUCUGUUAGGGAUCAUGUCGUAAGUGGACUAAGCCAAGUUUGUGUCGUACCCUACAGUAGGGGACUGGUUUUCUGAUGUUACAAAAAUUAUACUGUACAUGUUUGUCUGAAUUUGUAGCCUGCAGCUGACCUGCUGGUUGAAAAGCUUUACAUUAAAAUCAAAACAAAACAACAUAUAUGCAUGUGAAACAUAUUCAUUUAUGUAAACAACUUUCACAGUUGGUCAGUAUAGAAAACACAGACAGUGAACUCUGUCAGUCUCUUGGCCCAAUAACACCACUGUGUUAAUGUUAAUAUGUGCAAAGAAAACCAGUAAUUAUUGAUGAUGGCACCUUUUUAAUAACCAUAUAUUUACUGAUUGGUUGUAAACUUGUUAUAUUUAUGUUUCCAGCAUCUAUUAUAUACUUUAUAAAAUAUAGGCCAAUGUAAGUUAUUAUUAGUGUUAUUAGUGUUGCUGCUGUUUUUUCUCUCUUCCUCCUGCUUUAUAAGCUCUAUUUGUGUUUCAGGAGUGAUGGGUCUCACCUACAUCAUCAAUAAAUUCCAUAUUGUGAAGCUGACCAAGAAGGACCAGUUCAUCUUGGCCUACAGUGGCCUGUGAGGUGCCAUAGCCUUCUCCCUGGACUUCCUGCUCACCAACAACGAGAUGAAGAACAUGUUCCUCACGGCCAUUAUUGCUGUCUUCUUCUUCAGUGUUUGUGCAGGGAAUGACGAUCCGUCCUCUGGUGGAGCUCCUUGCAGUGAAGAAGAAGGUGAGCAAACGGUUGAUUAACGAAGAGAUUCACACACGGGUGCCAUCAGUAAUAAUUAGUUUCACAAUUUUACUUGAUUUUUUUAUGGCAAACACUGACAAUGUUCUCCGCAGUCCACAUGUUGAAGUGUCCUCGGACACUGAACCCCAAGUUGCUCCUGAUGGCCAGGACAACACUGCCCCUGCAGGGUGCUGCCAUCAGUUUGUGUGUGUGUGUGUGUGUGUGUGUGUGUGUGAGUUGGCACCGCAGAUGGCUGUCUUUGUUCUGUAUUGGAGACAAAUUCCUCCUGUGUUUAACAUACUUGGCCAGUAAAAGUGAUUAUAAAAAUGAGUGGAAGAGUGUUACAGUACAUUAAAGUGAAUGAAGUGCAUACAGAUGUACAGGCAUAAUGUUAUGCCUAAUUGGUGUAUAACCUAGUGACAGAUGUAUAGGACUAUCAUAAUCAAUAAGUACAUUUGUAAAUCCAACAGAGAGGGAAAAUGCUUUCGGUCAGGGUAUUUGUACCUAGCUAGCUAACCUUAGCUUCCGUCAGAAAGCUACAGUUAGCUGGCUAUUAGAAUAAUAACGGAAAACGUGGAAAAGAAUUUGUAAUCUCUUUACAAAAUAGUAAAAAAUAUUAUACAAUAGGCUAGGAUUUUCCACAGUUUCUUGUAGAGGGCCCAACUUCAAAUUUUUUCAUAGGGCCCAAAACUGCUAGCGGCGCCCCUGGUAAUUUCAAUAUUGUAAUACAAGUGAAGAGAUUUGUGAUCCAGAAGAUGUUUUGCUUUAUUUAAUAUUGCAGUGCUUCUUGAAAGUUUUUGUACAUGCUUUAUGUCACUUUCGGCUUUUCCCAUUUAGGGGUCGCCACAACGAAUCGUCGCACUGACGAC